rnacentral:rRNA from 2 species
GUCGAGCGGAAGGCCCUUCGGGGUACUCGAGCGGCGAACGGGUGAGUAACACGUGAGUAAUCUGCCCCAGGCUCUGGGAUAGCCACCGGAAACGGUGAUUAAUACCGGAUACGACAACCGAUUGCAUGAUCUGGUUGUGGAAAGUUUUUCGGCCUGGGAUGUGCUCGCGGCCUAUCAGCUUGUUGGUGAGGUAAUGGCUCACCAAGGCUUCGACGGGUAGCCGGCCUGAGAGGGUGACCGGCCACACUGGGACUGAGACACGGCCCAGACUCCUACGGGAGGCAGCAGUGGGGAAUAUUGGACAAUGGGCGGAAGCCUGAUCCAGCAACGCCGCGUGAGGGAUGACGGCCUUCGGGUUGUAAACCUCUUUCAGCACAGACGAAGCGAAAGUGACGGUAUGUGCAGAAGAAGGACCGGCCAACUACGUGCCAGCAGCCGCGGUAAUACGUAGGGUCCGAGCGUUGUCCGGAAUUAUUGGGCGUAAAGGGCUCGUAGGCGGUCUGUCGCGUCGGGAGUGAAAACCAGGUGCUUAACACCUGGCCUGCUUCCGAUACGGGCAGACUAGAGGUACUCAGGGGAGAAUGGAAUUCCUGGUGUAGCGGUGAAAUGCGCAGAUAUCAGGAGGAACACCGGUGGCGAAGGCGGUUCUCUGGGAGUAUCCUGACGCUGAGGAGCGAAAGUGUGGGGAGCGAACAGGAUUAGAUACCCUGGUAGUCCACACCGUAAACGUUGGGCGCUAGGUGUGGGACACAUUCCACGUGUUCCGUGCCGCAGCUAACGCAUUAAGCG